UCCCUGAUAGCUCAGCUGGUAAAGAAUCUGCCUGUAAUGCAGGAAGCCCUGGUUUGAUACCUGGGUUGGGAA
rfam:Ovis aries breed Texel chromosome 12, whole genome shotgun sequence.